GUGCAGCCCAUUAAACUGCUCUCUGCCUGGGGGGCCAGGUGUGCAGUGGCUGCAGAUGGCACACGGCCUCCUCAGGGGUGGACACAGCCUGUGGCUUGGACAGGCUGUAAUAAGGGAGCUUAGAGACAGUC